GCGUGCCUAAUACGUGCAAGUCGAACGAGUUCUGAUUAUUGAAGGGUGCUUGCAUCUUGAUUUAAUUUUGAACGAGUGGCGGACGGGUGAGUAACACGUGGGUAACCUGCCCUUAAGUGGGGGAUAACAUUUGGAAACAGAUGCUAAUACCGCAUAAAUCCAAGAACCGCAUGGUUCUUGGCUGAAAGAUGGCGUAAGCUAUCGCUUUUGGAUGGACCCGCGGCGUAUUAGCUAGUUGGUGAGGUAACGGCUUACCAAGGCAAUGAUACGUAGCCGAACUGAGAGGUUGAUCGGCCACACUGGGACUGAGACACGGCCCAAACUCCUACGGGAGUCAGCAGUAGGGAAUCUUCCACAAUGGACGCAAGUCUGAUGGAGCAACGCCGCGUGAGUGAAGAAGGCUUUCGGGUCGUAAAACUCUGUUGUUGGAGAAGAAUGGUCGGCAGAGUAACUGUUGUCGGCGUGACGGUAUCCAACCAGAAAGCCACGGCUAACUACGUGCCAGCAGCCGCGGUAAUACGUAGGUGGCAAGCGUUAUCCGGAUUUAUUGGGCGUAAAGCGAGCGCAGGCGGUUUUUUAAGUCUGAUGUGAAAGCCCUCGGCUUAACCGAGGAAGUGCAUCGGAAACUGGGAAACU
rnacentral:rRNA from 2 species